GUGUCCUCGAGGUACCCGCCUCCGGCCGUCUCAAAAUUCUUCCGAUGCAAUGGAUCUUGCUUGUGAUUUUUGUGCAGUAUUUUAACCCUAUUUCCAAUUCUAAUUUAUAUGCUCCUGCGUGCAGAUCUAAUCAUUGUUUGCCAACCAAAUCUUUCGUUUAGCACUAGUUUUUUUUCUGUAUGUUCCUGAGCUUCCCAAUAGAUUGAUUUGUUGAUUGGAUGGCGCUGCUGUGAUGCCUGGAGAGGCAUGCAGCCAGCGCGAUUGUGCGAAGCCGCCAAUGAGACAGAUACAUGCAGAACUGCUACUCUGCUAGUGUGGAUGAGGUACAAUGCCUGAUGAGAUAGAUAUGUGCAUAUGUUUCUUUACGCAUUCUCAUGCUAUUUCUGUAAUUCCAUUAGUACAUCUCAUUCAGAGAAGCAGACCUAAGCUCUUAGCUCUAUUCAACUGAUGCAUGCUGCUUCUUUCUAGUAUACUGAUAUAUUCACGAUUCCUCCUGUAGCCAUGCAAUUAAUUAUUUUAGGAUUACAUAAAUCAAAGCAUGCCCUUCAUCUCCUGACUAGCUUUAGAAACAUUGAAGAUUAUUCCUUUUUUGACAAGGUUGUAUGCAGUUUUGAGCUCUUCUAUAAACUAUUAACAUUGGAGAUUAUUUCCUGAACUUUUCAUUGCUCCUUUUUUUUCUGGCAAUGGCAGAAGCAGAGCAGAGGUGAUUGUAUCUAUUACAUAUAAUUAGAACUGUCCAGUUCUUACCUUCUCUUUGUAUUCUACCAUUAUUAGCUAGACUCUUUGUGGUCAUAUAUAUACUUUGUUUCAUUAAGCUUGCAUUGUGCUGCCAGUUAAUUAACAUUGGAGAUUAUUUCCUGAACUUUUCAUUGCUCCUUUUUUUUCUGGCAAUGGCAGAAGCAGAGCAGAGGUGAUUGUAUCUAUUACAUAUAAUUAGAACUGUCCAGUUCUUACCUUCUCUUUGUAUUCUACCAUUAUUAGCUAGACUCUUUGUGGUCAUAAAUAUACUUUGUUUCAUUAAGCUUGCAUUGUGCUGCCAGUUAAUUAACCCGUUAUGCCAUCUUCUUUCCGUGUUCCUGUGGUGCUCCUCGGCGAACUCAGCCUCAGGCAUCAGAGAUGAGCUCCUUCCCGAGCUGUGGUGUAUGUGGUUUUCUAUUUUUAUCGAGAGUUUUGACUGCUUGUCCAGGAGAAGUAAUUGUUUCAAUUCAUUUGCAAAACCUGAUGAUUUUUAGGUGCUCCUUGUUGGAUCAUAUUAGUUCUUGUUCCAAACCUUGAUUUUGUAAGCAAAAUAUCUUAUUUUUAUUUCAUCUUGAAACUGACAGGACAGAAACUUGGACCUGGUUUAGUUAU